CAGGUGCUGCAUGGCUGUCGUCAGCUCGUGUUGUGAAAUGUUGGGUUAAGUCCCGCAACGAGCGCAACCCUUAUCCUUUGUUGCCAGCGGUCCGGCCGGGAACUCAAAGGAGACUGCCAGUGAUAAACUGGAGGAAGGUGGGGAUGACGUCAAGUCAUCAUGGCCCUUACGACCAGGGCUACACACGUGCUACAAUGGCGCAUACAAAGAGAAGCGACCUCGCGAGAGCAAGCGGACCUCAUAAAGUGCGUCGUAGUCCGGACUGGAGUCUGCAACUCGACUCCAUGAAGUCGGAAUCGCUAGUAAUCGUGGAUCAGAAUGCCACGGUGAAUACGUUCCCGGGCCUUGUACACACCGCCCGUCACACCAUGGGAGUGGGUUGCAAAAGAAGUAGGUAGCUUAACCUUCGGGAGGGCGCUUACCACUUUGUGAUUCAUGACUGGGGUGAAGUCGUAACAAGGUAACCGUAGGGGAACCUGCGGUUGGAUCACCUCCUUACCU
rnacentral:rRNA from 1 species